GUUUGAGAAGGUUUGGGGUGCAUCGGCCACUCAUGUGUUCUUGAUGAGAUGCAUCAUUCAUCACCAUAACCAGAGAGAAAACCAGAAGGCACUGGUAGACUUAAAGAACAUUUCUGGAAGGAAAAAUGUCACUAUCAAUUCCAGUGGACAGGCUGUGUUAGCUGUCCUUUCAUUGUCUUCGCCCUCUGUCCAACAAACUGUCCCUCCACCUGCCCGAUCAGCAUUUCGGCCAGUAGUUUCGCCAGCUCUCAAACUAACCGUCCCUCCAGUGGCUCCACCAGCAGACAAACCAGCUGACUCCCUUUCUGACCAACUGGUACUACAGCAAUUGAUACAGGAUCACAACUAC